AAAGUGUCAUCACUGAGAUCAUCAAUAUCUAUCUCAAUUUCGUCCUCUCCAGCACCCCUUCCAUUUGAACCAUGCUCCCUCAAAAAAUCAAUGAUAUUUACAGGCAUUUCUCCCAACAAAUCCUCUAACUCUCUUCCUAAUUUCUGCUUCUCAUCAUCUGUCAUUAUGCGCCUAGCAGGCUCUGGCACAAUUUCAUGUUGAUAUGAAGUUACUUUCCUCUUUUUAAUGGGACAUGUUUCAGUACUUUGCAGGUCUUCAUGAGGGCCUGAAUUUGCCUGCACAGCUUGAGCAUCAGUCUUGGGUAAUUUCUUUUCAAUAGUUUUCCAUCUCACUUCAAAAAAUUUACUAAGCGUAUCAGCCAUGAUGUGUAC
rnacentral:misc_RNA from 1 species